UACGUAGGGUGCAAGCGUUGUCCGGAAUUAUUGGGCGUAAAGAGCUUGUAGGCGGUUUGUCGCGUCUGCUGUGAAAUUUCGGGGCUCAACCCCGAACUUGCAGUGGGUACGGGCAGACUAGAGUGUGGUAGGGGGAGACUGGAAUUCCUGGUGUAGCGGUGAAAUGCGCAGAUAUCAGGAGGAACACCGAUGGCGAAGGCAGGUCUCUGGGCCAUAACUGACGCUGAGAAGCGAAAGCAUGGGGAGCGAACAGG
rnacentral:rRNA from 1 species